rnacentral:rRNA from 1 species
GAUGAACGCUGGCGGCGUGCUUAACACAUGCAAGUCGAACGAUUAAAGCCCCUUCGGGGGUGUAUAGAGUGGCGAACGGGUGAGUAACACGUGGGCAAUCUGCCCCUCACACUGGGAUAACUCAGGGAAACUUGAGCUAAUACCGGAUACUCCGGGACGAUCGCAUGGUCGACCCGGGAAAGCUCCGGCGGUGAGGGAUGAGCCCGCGGCCCAUUAGCUUGUUGGUGAGGUAACGGCUCACCAAGGCGACGAUGGGUAGACGAGCUGAGAGGCUGAUCGGCCAAACGGGGACUGCGACACGGCCCAGACUCCUACGGGAGGCAGCAGUGGGGAAUUUUGCGCAAUGGGCGAAAGCCUGACGCAGCAACGCCGCGUGCGGGAUGAAGGCCUUCGGGUUGUAAACCGCUUUCAGCAGGGAUGAAACUGACAGUACCUGCAGAAGAAGCCCCGGCUAACUACGUGCCAGCAGCCGCCGUAAAAC